ACCACUUUUGUUAUUCUUGAAUGAUGGUUCAGCUGGUUUAGAAUUCUAGAUUGAGUUCUAUUCCCUCAGCACUUUGAGGUCAUUGUUUUCAUUGUUCUUUUACAGCCAUUGUUGCUGAUAUGAAGUCUGCCAUUAGUUGGAUUAGCAUUCAUUUGAUAUAGAGCGCCUCACUGGACUGCUCCAUGGCUAAUCUACUACUCAGUUCUUGGCUUUUCUUCUAUGUUUAGACAUCUGAGCUCAUCACCACACUCCUCAUUCUCCAAUUAUUAUUGGGCUCUUUCCCAUGCCCCGGCCUCCAAGCUGGACAGCUAUCCGGCAGGAUUCUCACUGCAUUAAGAUGGUAUCUCAAGGGCAACAGGGCCCUUCUGAGCCAGAAUGAAAGGAGUAUCUUCUAUUCUUCUCGGCCAACACGGGAGAUUCUGGAGAAGUGUAGCUGAUAUGAGACGAUUCUUUAUUGGGCUGGAUGGUCUAAUACCAUCUCCAAUUUUUCGUGA